rnacentral:rRNA from 1 species
UGGGGAAUAUUGCACAAUGGGGGAAACCCUGAUGCAGCGACGCCGCGUGAGCGAAGAAGUAUUUCGGUAUGUAAAGCUCUAUCAGCAGGGAAGAAAAUGACGGUACCUGACUAAGAAGCUCCGGCUAAAUACGUGCCAGCAGCCGCGGUAAUACGUAUGGAGCAAGCGUUAUCCGGAUUUACUGGGUGUAAAGGGAGCGUAGGCGGUGGUGCAAGUCUGAUGUGAAAACCCGGGGCUCAACCCGGCAGGACUGCAUUGGAAACUGUGUCACUGGAGUGUCGGAGGGGUAAGUGGAAUUCCUAGUGUAGCGGUGAAAUGCGUAGAUAUUAGGAGGAACACCAGUGGCGAAGGCGGCUUACUGGACGACAACUGACGCUGAGGCUCGAAAGCGUGGGGAGCAAACAGGAUUAGAUACC